UACGGGGGGGGCGAGCGUUGUUCGGAAUUAUUGGGCGUAAAGGGCGCGUAGGCGGUUUGGUAAGUCUGAUGUGAAAUCUAUGGGCUCAACUCAUAGUCUGCAUCGGAAACUGCCGGGCUUGAGUAUGGGAGAGGUGAGUGGAAUUCCUGGUGUAGCGGUGAAAUGCGUAGAUAUUGGGAGGAACACCAGUGGCGAAGGCGGCUCACUGGACCGGAACUGACGCUGAGGCGCGAAAGCGUGGGGAGCAAACGGG
rnacentral:rRNA from 1 species